CGGGAACUUAGCAGGCUAGGAAAAACAACUUAAUCGUAUCUCUAAUACGUCGAUAUAAAGUACUAUAACCCCUCUCACGCCCUUUAACCCAUAAAUCGCAGACACGAGCAUUUUGUCCUUUAUAAAGUCUAAUCCGCAUUUAUUUUAUGCUCGGCUACAAAUCGUCGCUUUAAUAGUGUCACCAUGAGUUAUUGGAGCAGAUCCUCCAUAUCUCGUGCCGCCCUCUCUCUUUGUAAGAAGAGGGCAUCUCGGUCCCCCAAUCCCCAGUUCGAACCGCCCCAGCAAAUAACAAAAAUAAAUGCAUGCAUUAGUUAAUGUCCAGUCGUUGUCGUAGUUCCCUUACCUUUUCCCGGACCCUCGCACACGGGGGCAGCGGAUCGCAGCAGGAUGCAGUUUAUAAGCGGACCGAAUCGAGCAUCCAGUUGCCCAGGCCAUCGCCUCACUUGAUGUCUGCACAGGGAGAAAAAAUUACAAGGAAUGCUUCAGAUGCAAUAUAGAAUACUUAUUGCGGAUCAGGAUGUUUCUGAGAUAAAAUUAAAUUAAGAAAAUUUUUUUUUAUACCUAUGUAUGUGUAUAUACAUCAAAAAAUAUAUUUAUAUUAGAUUUAUUUAAAUUGUUAAUACAUUUGUUUAAGCUCCAAUAAUUUUUUAAACAUA